ensembl:lncRNA
GUACUUAGCUAAACCUUGGCCCCGUGCUAGCGACAAUGAGCAGCAUCUGGAGAGGAGAACUGGUUGCCAAGUCUUUCCCAGAGGCCCCCUCUUUCUUGCAGGUGGCUCAGCGGUAAAGAAUCCACCUGCAAUUCAGGAGUUGUGGGUUCGAUCCCUGGGUCAGGAAGAUCCCCUGGAGAAGGAAAUGGCAACCCACUCCAGUAUUCUUACCUGGACAAUCCCAUGGGCAGAAGAGCUUCGAGGGCUAUAAUCCAUGGGGUGGCAAAAGAGUCGGACACGACUUAGUGACUAAACAACAACAACUCUUUGGCAAAGGGAACUAUGCUCAGUAUCUUAUAAUAAACUAUAC